UUUUUUUUUUUUUUUUUCACAUUCAUCUUGUGUGUAUCUGGGUAUGUUGUUGUACCGUACAUGCUCAACAUUCACUUCCAUACAACAUACGACAUAUGUUGUAUGGUUGGCCUGACAACAUACUUUUCACUUUUUUAGGGAUCUCAUGGUUGCAAAGCACACUUAUUGCACUCUUUCAUUUCAUUCAUCAUGUUUUGUGUUUUGAUCCUGUAUAUUACACCGUUAUUAUCUGUUCUUUUAGAUGAUG
rnacentral:misc_RNA from 1 species